GAUGAACGCUGGCGGCGUGCCUAAUACAUGCAAGUCGAGCGAACGGACGAGGAGCUUGCUUCUCUGAUGUUAGCGGCGGACGGGUGAGUAACACGUGGAUAACCUACCUAUAAGACUGGGAUAACUUCGGGAAACCGGAGCUAAUACCGGAUAAUAUUUUGAACCGCAUGGUUCAAAAGUGAAAGACGGUCUUGCUGUCACUUAUAGAUGGAUCCGCGCUGCAUUAGCUAGUUGGUAAGGUAACGGCUUACCAAGGCAACGAUGCAUAGCCGACCUGAGAGGGUGAUCGGCCACACUGGAACUGAGACACGGUCCAGACUCCUACGGGAGGCAGCAGUAGGGAAUCUUCCGCAAUGGGCGAAAGCCUGACGGAGCAACGCCGAGUGAGUGAUGAAGGUCUUCGGAUCGUAAAACUCUGUUAUUAGGGAAGAACAUAUGUGUAAGUAACUGUGCACAUCUUGACGGUACCUAAUCAGAAAGCCACGGCUAACUACGUG
rnacentral:rRNA from 1 species